rnacentral:rRNA from 1 species
UACGGGGGGGGCAAGCGUUGUUCGGAAUUACUGGGCGUAAAGGGCUCGUAGGCGGCCAACUAAGUCGGAUGUGAAAUCCCCAGGCUCAACUUGGGAACUGCAUCCGAUACUGGAUGGCUUGAAUUCGGGAGAGGGAUGCAGAAUUCCAGGUGUAGCGGUGAAAUGCGUAGAUAUCAGGAGGAACACCGAUGGCGAAGGCAGGUCUCUGGGCUGACACUGACGCUCAUGCACGAAAGCGUGGGGAGCAAACAGG